CCAGCCCCGCUGCACUGGCCCCCUCCCUCUGCGAGUGUGAUUGUUUUGUCUGGAAAAAAAAAUCCAAAGUAUAUAACAAGGGGAGAACAGUUAGUGCUGAUUUUCAUUUGCAUACAUUUUCAUAUAUUUUGGUGAAAAUAAUAGACUAGUGGAGAGCUGGGCUCCGAGGAGUCAGUGUGAAGGGAAGACUAAGGAUGCAUCGUUCUGGGGAGUUGAGACUAUGCCUUCACCACCUCCAGCCACUCGAUUGAAAAAAAAUCUUUUAUUUUAAAAUCUAACCCCGGAAGUUUGUUCGAUGAGGAAAUGGACAACUCAAAGAAGAUGCCCAGCUUUCCACAUGCCCUGUGGCAGGUGGCAGAACUGGGGUGCCCGCCACGCCAGGCUGGCCUCUCCCCAGAGCUGAUGGGUUUCUCUCACAAAAGCAGUGGUGUGGGCAUUGAAAGAUGGUCUUCAAGCUCCGGGGACAGAAGGGUCCUGACCUCCACCCGACAGCUCCGUGGCUCCCGUGGAGUGGAUGCCCGCUGUCCCCGGAGCUGGAUGUCAGGGGCUGCAGCACGGCGUGGGACGGCCACUCGGGAGCUCGCAGCCUGGCCGAGGCGCCUGGACAAGGGCCUGGGCGCAGUCCCUGCAGCUGCCGCCCCGGCUUGUGCUGAGGACACCAGGAGGCCUGCCUGUCUGGCUCCUCGCUUCAGAAGAAGAGAUGGCGGGGUUUGAAACAGUCCAUGCCAAGGACAUUGUCAGACUCCUCUUUGUUGGCUGGGUUUCCUGCAUAUCUAAGAAAUCUAACAAGGGCCCAAGUUGGAGCUUUUGCACAUCAGGAAAUGGUUAGUGUGCCCCAGUCUCGCCUUACAGACCUGCCGAGGACGGAAACCUUCCUUUCUCUUCCCUCCCCCGCCCCUCCUCCCAUCCAUCUCCACCAGAAGGGUCUCUGGCCCAGAGGGUUCCCUGGGAAUCAGGCCAUGCUUGGCUGCCCCUGGAGAAAGGCCGCCCCUCAGCGCAGCUGCUCCCUUCGCCAGGAGCCGGCUCUCCCGGGGCGGGAGGAGGCGGGAGGGAAGUGCGGGGUCAGCGUGGCUGGGUUUCCUGUGGCCAGGGGUCCGCGUGUUCUUUCUUCCUCUGCCCCACAGGGCCGGGAAGGGGCCCGGGCAGCCCCAUCAAAGGGCCUGGCCUGGAGCCAAAGCCUGACUUCUCCCUGUGCGGCUGGGCCAGGAGCUGCCGGUUCCCAGGGCUCCAUUUCUGCCUGCUGAAACCGAUAGGGAAGGUUAAUGAGAUUAACAUGGCCCGGCACUGCGGGCUGCCGAGGAGGAGAAGCCCUGGAUGAGCUGGCCGCUGUGGAGAUGCCGGCCAGGCCACGGCGGCUGGGAGACGCCAUUGUUGUCAGUGAACCGUUCGGAAUGGCACCGGGCAAACUCACCAGUGCUGCCCCUUCAACGCUGCUGAGGCCGAGAACCAAUGAAUGGAUGUCCUAUUAAGUUUGCUCCCAAUUUUUCACCAGUUUGGUCCAGUACUUCCUGCCUUUCCAAAUAUAUAGUGGUUGACAUUUCCUGGGGUAGGAAAAAAAAAAGUCUAGUUUAUGAUAAAAUGUGGUAAAAUUAAAAGAAAAUAGUCAAGUACAAAAACUACACCCUGCAUCAAGCUUAAAGAUGAAAUAUCUCUUUGGAUGGAGAUUUCCUGAAUAAAAUAUUGCUUAGAAAA